rnacentral:piRNA from 2 species
UAGAAUCCCUGAUGGACCGAGGAGCC